rnacentral:tRNA from 1 species
GGUGACGUGCCAGAAUAGCUAAUGGGCUGGUUUGCAAAACCAGUUUUCGUGGGUGCGAUUCCCACCGUCACCU